AUUGAACGCUGGCGGCAGGCCUAACACAUGCAAGUCGAGCGAGUGGCGGACGGGUGAGUAAUGUAUGUGAAACUGCCUGGUGGAGGGGGAUAACUACUGGACACGGUAGCUAAUACCGCAUACCAUCGGAUGUGCCCAGAUGGGAUUAGCUAGUAGGUGGGGUAAAGGCUCACCUAGGCGACGAUCCCUAGCUGGUCUGAGAGGAUGACCAGCCACACUGGAACUGAGACACGGUCCAGACUCCUACGGGAGGCAGCAGUGGGGAAUAUUGGACAAUGGGCGAAAGCCUGAUGCAGCCAUGCCGCGUGUAUGAAGAAGGCCUUCGGGUUGUAAAGCACUUUAAGCGGGGAGGCGUUACCCGCAGAAGAAGCACCGGCUAACUCCGUGCCAGCCGCCGCGGUAAUAC
rnacentral:rRNA from 1 species